GUGAAAAUUCCCCUAUUCAGUAAUUCAGUAUUUCUAUCCAUGAUCUCUCCUGAGUGUGUCCCUUCCCUUUUCCCGCACUAAAUGUGCACACAGGAGCUGGGCCAGCCUUCCCUGAGCUGCCUUGUGCAAUCCCAGGACAGUGACCUUCCCCUUACCUGGAAAAUAUUAUUGUUUCUGGAUGAAACCAAAUUUGUGACCGUAACGGAGUGUAAGACUGGAUGUGUUGGAUUGCUGGUACCUGAGACAGAUGCCAGAGCAGUCAGAGGUGGAUCAGGAGAACAAUCAGAGAUCCUGGGCACUGAGAGGGCAAAACUGAGCCUGGCACCACCUGAGCAGCCUGAAGGAACUGAAGAACUGCAGGAGCUGCAGUUGUGGUGAGGAGGAAGGAUUUCUUUAGCAGGACAUGUAGGUAGGACAAGAAAGUAUCUUUACACUGAAUUUAGAAGUCACCUUGCAGAGAUUAAAAGCCAGCUGUAUGGACAGGAUGCUAGGAAGUCAUUAAACAGACCAUGAAUGAGUGAAGUCUCUGUGCAGCUCUGCCUUUAAUGUCCCUCAGAAAACAGGGUGUCCUUAUUGCUGAGAAACUCACAGAUCUCCUGAUGAAAAAGAACAUAAUCCUUACGGGAGGUGCUGUUGACUCUGGUACU